rnacentral:rRNA from 1 species
UACGGGGGGGAGCAAGCGUUGUUCGGAUUUACUGGGCGUAAAGGGCGCGUAGGCGGCCUCUGCAAGUCAGUUGUGAAAUCUCCGGGCUUAACUCGGAAAGGUCAACUGAUACUGCAGGGCUAGAGUGCGGAAGGGGCAACUGGAAUUCUCGGUGUAGCGGUGAAAUGCGUAGAUAUCGAGAGGAACACCUGCGGCGAAGGCGGGUUGCUGGGCCGACACUGACGUGAAGCGCGAAAGCCAGGGGAGCGAACAGG